CCUGAGCUGAAAUCUAGAGUCUAACACUUAACUGACUGAGCCACCCAGACACCCCUCAUAGCAUAUUAAUUAUAGUUGUUUCAAAUUCUCUUAAAUAAUUCCAACAGCUCUGCCAU